rnacentral:miRNA from 1 species
CCCUAAAUAGUGUGAUAGCUCAUU